CGAUUCAUCUCAGGUCGGUAAUCGGUGAGUGGUUCGACUAAUAUAUCUAUCGUGGCCAGCAGAUAGGGGAGCGGAGUAGAAUAGGGGGAGGCAGGGGCGAAGGAGGAGGAGAAGGAGGGCGAGUGAGGGCUUGGCUUCGGAGUUCUCGAGGGUUACCGAAGGUGGUGCAAGAGGAGGCGGAAGAGGUAGGAGAGAGAGGGGAGGAGGAGUGGUAGGGGGAGGCGUAGCCGGGGGUCCUGGGAGGGGCAGCGGUUGGCGGCGGCGGCGCGGCAGCGGCAGCGGAGGUGGCGGUGACUCAGGGGCUUCCAGGAACUCGAGCCGCUGCGGUAACGGCCCGAGUGGGAACUCCUCCGAGCGUUGGAACAGCUGGUAGAGGUUCUUGCAGAACCGCAGAGACGGCGGAGGAAGCGAGGGCGACGGCGCCAGCGCCGAGGGCGGCGCCGCCGCCGGCUCCUCCGUGGCCAGCUCUUCUGCCUCAAGCUACACCAGUAGCUCCUCCACGGGUCGUCGCGCGCAUAGCGUUGGUAGUUCCAACACGCGCGUGACUGGUUGGACCGCGAUUUCCUCCGGUUCCUAGAAUAGCUCCCAGAGGGUUUCUUCGAGUUCCUCCGUCACUCGUUCCUGCUCCGGCUCCUCCGGUUCUUCGUCGAGCUCCCUCAGCCGCGGUUCCAAAGGUAUCGCACUCUGAUCUUGUUACACUCGUAAUGUAACCCGUACCGUACACUCAAACCCAUCAUCUUCUUGUACUUGAGAGGUAUACGUCUAUAUACACACCGCGACUUUGACCCUUCAAGAGACUUUUAUAACACAAACACAGAUCUCAUAAAACAAAAGGGCGCACUAAACUUAGAUAGCUUCGGCGACUUUCAACAAAAUACGGGUGAAACAUAAAGACUUAGAGAUCAAGACGAAAGGUUUCACAUUAACCCACUACGACAACCGUGGGAACUACAAUGGGUAGGUGUUCCUAGUCAGUCCAUCCGGUUGCCUUUCUCAACGUGAAAGCGGAGAGCGAAACCAUGCACAUAUAACCAUCCGUAGUGGGGUAGUCGUUAUAAACCGGCCUCUCUGGAACGUUUGUUUCAUGAGGGAGGCAAGGGUUUAUAUUCAGAAAGAUCUCUAAGGUUG
rnacentral:rRNA from 1 species